CGUACACAAAAGCGCAUGUGCUGUGAGCUCGAUGAGUAGGGCGGGACACGUGGUAUCCUGUCUGAAUAUGGGGGGACCAUCCUCCAAGGCUAAAUACUCCUGACUGACCGAUAGUGAACCAGUACCGUGAGGGAAAGGCGAAAAGAACCCCGGCGAGGGGAGUGAAAAAGAACCUGAAACCGUGUACGUACAAGCAGUGGGAGC
rnacentral:rRNA from 2 species